rnacentral:rRNA from 1 species
UACGGAGGGGGCUAGCGUUGUUCGGAAUUACUGGGCGUAAAGCGCACGUAGGCGGCUUUGUAAGUUAGAGGUGAAAGCCCAGGGCUUAACCCCUGGAAUUGCCUUUAAGACUGCAUCGCUAGAAUCGUGGAGAGGUGAGUGGAAUUCCGAGUGUAGAGGUGAAAUUCGUAGAUAUUCGGAAGAACACCAGUGGCGAAGGCGACUCACUGGACACGUAUUGACGCUGAGGUGCGAAAAGCGUGGGGAGCAAACAGGG